GAUGAACGCUGGCGGCGUGCUUAACACAUGCAAGUCGAACGAUGCAGCUGGAGCUUGCUCUGGUUGCUUAGUGGGGAAAGGGUGAGUAACACGUGAGCAACCUGCCCCUGACUCUGGGAUACCAGCCGGAAACGGCUACUAAUACCGGACAUGCACCAUUACCGCAUGAUCAUUGGUGGGAAAUGUUUUUCGGUUGGGGGUGGGCUCGCGGACUACCAUCUUGUUGGUGAGGGAAUGGCUCACCAAGUCGUAGGCGGAUAGCCGGCCUGAGAGGGUGACCGGCGACACUGGGACUACGACACGGACCAGAAUGCUACCGGAGGCAACAGUCGGGAAUAUUGCACAAUGGGCGCAAGCCGGAUGCAGAAACCCCGCGUGCGGGAUGACGGCCUUCGGGUUGUAAACCUGCUUGAGCGGGAAAGAAGCGAGAGUGACGGUACCUAAAGAGAAAGCGCCGGCUAACUACGUG
rnacentral:rRNA from 1 species